rnacentral:misc_RNA from 1 species
ACAGUUUAUUUUCGACGUGAAGAAGUUUAAAGUUAGACAAGCAAGAGUACGUGCCUCCUAGCGUACGCUGUUACUCCAAGCCAAGUACAAGAUCGCUGGCCAACGAAGUCCCUAAGAAGCGAAGAAAGAAAAGACUCGUUUCGAGGUAUCCAAUGAACGAGCAUCUAUCGAUAAAAGAUUAAUCACGAAGGCAUAGAACAACGAGCUAAUAAUAGUGACGAAUCCGAUGUCUCUUUCCUCUGGUGUUCACCAGUCGGCAUAACACGCGUGUCGUUA